rnacentral:tRNA from 1 species
CGCGGGGUAGAACAGUUGGUAGUUCGCCAGGCUCAUAAUCUGGAGGUCGCGGGUUCGAGUCCCGUCCCCGCCA